rnacentral:rRNA from 1 species
UACGAGGGGGGCGAGCGUUGUUCGGAAUUAUUGGGCGUAAAGGGUGCGUAGGCGGUUUGGUAAGUCUGAUGUGAAAUCUAAUGGGCUCAACUCAUAGUCUGCAUCGGAAACUGCCGGGCUUGAGUGUGGGAGAGGUGAGUGGAAUUCCUGGUGUAGCGGUGAAAUGCGUAGAUAUCAGGAGGAACACCUGUGGCGAAAAGCGGCUCACUGGACCAUAACUGACGCUGAUGCACGAAAGCUAGGGGGAGCAAACAGG